AGAGUUUGAUCCUGGCUCAGGACGAACGCUGGCGGCGUGCUUAACACAUGCAAGUCGAACGAUGACGAUGGUGCUUGCACCGUCUGAUUAGUGGCGAACGGGUGAGUAACACGUGAGUAACCUGCCCUCCUCUUCGGGAUAACCGCCGGAAACGGUGGCUAAUGCCGGAUAUGAAUGCCUGCCGCAUGGUGGGUGUUGGAAAGAUUUAUCGGUGGGGGAUGGACUCGCGGCCUAUCAGUUUGUUGGUGAGGUAAUGGCUCACCAAGGCGAUGACGGGUAGCCGGCCUGAGAGGGCGACCGGCCACACUGGGACUGAGACACGGCCCAGACUCCUACGGGAGGCAGCAGUGGGGAAUAUUGCACAAUGGGCGAAAGCCUGAUGCAGCGACGCCGCGUGGGGGAUGACGGCCUUCGGGUUGUAAACCUCUUUCAGCAGGGAAGAAGCGAGAGUGACGGUACCUGCAGAAGAAGCGCCGGCUAACUACGUGCCAGCAGCCGCGGUAAUACGUAGGGCGCAAGCGUUGUCCGGAAUUAUUGGGCGUAAAGAGCUUGUACGUGGCUUGUCNCGUCUGCCGUGAAAACCCGAGGCUCAACCUCGGGCGUGCGGUGGGUACGG
rnacentral:rRNA from 1 species